rnacentral:rRNA from 1 species
UUCUCUAAUCAGUGAAACUGAUCUCUCCGUGAAGAAGCGGGGAUACUCCUAUAAGACGAAAAGACCCCAUGGAGCUUCAAACCCAACUACACCCUUAACUACCACAACCGCACAACCUCUUAGGGCCCUGUAUAGUUGGUUUUAGGUUGGGGCGACCACGGAGUACAACCAAACCUCCGCAAUGGACGGGACCACUCCCUUAUCUAAGAGCCACACCUCUAAGAAUUAAAACACUAACAUAAAAUGAUCCAUGAUCUGAUCAAUGAACCAAGUUACCCUGGGGAUAACAGCGCAAUCCAUUUCAAGAGCCCUUAUCGACAAGUGGGUUUACGACCUCGAUGUUGGAUCAGGGUAUCCUAGUGGUGCAGCAGCUACUAAUGGUUCGUUUGUUCAACGAUUAAAACCCU